CCUACGGGUGGCAGCAGUGGGGAAUAUUGCACAAUGGGCGCAAGCCUGAUGCAGCCAUGCCGCGUGUGUGAAGAAGGCCUUCGGGUUGUAAAGCACUUUCAGCGGGGAGGAAGGCGUUAAGGUUAAUAACCUUGGCGAUUGACGUUACCCGCAGAAGAAGCACCGGCUAACUCCGUGCCAGCAGCCGCGGUAAUACGGAGGAUGCGAGCGUUAAUCGGAAUUACUGGGCGUAAAGCGCACGCAGGCGGUCUGUCAAGUCGGAUGUGAAAUCCCCGGGCUCAACCUGGGAACUGCAUUUGAAACUGGCAGGCUAGAGUCUUGUAGAGGGGGGUAGAAUUCCAGGUGUAGCGGUGAAAUGCGUAGAGAUCUGGAGGAAUACCGGUGGCGAAGGCGGCCCCCUGGACAAAGACUGACGCUCAGGUGCGAAAGCGUGGGGAGCAAACAGGAUUAGAUACCCGAGUAGUC
rnacentral:rRNA from 1 species